GUGAGUCAUCGAAUCUUUGAACGCAUAUGGCACCUGCCAGCCCUGCUGGAAGGUAUGCCUGUUUGAGAAUCACAUUGCCACUCUGAUCCGAUUGCAUCCACGUGCAGUCAGUCGACAUGGGCCUUCAGCACUGAUCGCCUCGAAUUGCUCGCGAUCGUCGUGGUAGACAGGGAUGUGGCAGCGAUGCCAUCCAGUGUUGUCGACGAUCAAUCCGUGCUCGUGAUCUCAAAUCAGGCAAGACUACCCGCUGAACUUAAGCAUAUCAAUAAGCGGAGGA
rnacentral:misc_RNA from 1 species